rnacentral:rRNA from 1 species
GGCGAGGGGAGUGAAAAAGAACCUGAAACCGUGUACGUACAAGCAGUAGGAGCCCCACCACCAAAGCGUUUCGCUUUGCGUGGUGCGCAAAAUGCGUAACGACAGCAUGAUGGACGGUUAACGGAGCGUCAGCGACGUUCAACGUCAAAAAUCAGGCAGUGGAGCGUUUUGGGGUGGGGUGACUGCGUACCUUUUGUAUAAUGGGUCAGCGACUUAUAUUCUGUAGCAAGGUUAACCGUAUAGGGGAGCCGCAGGGAAACCGAGUCUUAACUGGGCGUUAAGUUGCAGGGUAUAGACCCGAAACCCGGUGAUCUAGCCAUGGGCAGGUUGAAGGUUGGGUAACACUAACUGGAGGACCGAACCGACUAAUGUUGAAAAAUUAGCGGAUGACUUGUGGCUGGGGGUGAAAGGCCAAUCAAACCGGGAGAUAGCUGGUUCUCCCCGAAAGCUAUUUAGGUAGCGCCUCGUGAAUUCAUCUUCGGGGGUAGAGCACUGUUUCGGCUAGGGGGUCAUCCCGACUUACCAACCCGAUGCAAACUACGAAUACCGAAGAAUGUUAUCACGGGAGACACACGGCGGGUGCUAACGUCCGUCGUGAAGAGGGAAACAACCCAGACCGCCAGCUAAGGUCCCAAAGUCAUGGUUAAGUGGGAAACGAUGUGGGAAGGCCCAGACAGCCAGGAUGUUGGCUUAGAAGCAGCCAUCAUUUAAAGAAAGCGUAAUAGCUCACUGGUCGAGUCGGCCUGCGCGGAAGAUGUAACGGGGCUAAACCAUGCACCGAAGCUGCGGCAGCGACACUAUGUGUUGUUGGGUAGGGGAGCGUUCUGUAAGCCGUUGAAGGUGGCCUGUGAGGGUUGCUGGAGGUAUCAGAAGUGCGAAUGCUGACAUAAGUAACGAUAAUGCGGGUGAAAAACCCGCACGCCGGAAGACCAAGGGUUCCUGUCCAACGUUAAUCGGGGCAGGGUGAGUCGACCCCUAAGGCGAGGCCGAAAGGCGUAGUCGAUGGGAAACAGGUUAAUAUUCCUGUACUUGGUGUUACUGCGAAGGGGGGACGGAGAAGGCUAUGUUGGCCGGGCGACGGUUGUCCCGGUUUAAGCAUGUAGGCGGAUGUUCCAGGUAAAUCCGGAGCGUCACUAACGCUGAGGUGUGAUGACGAGGCACUACGGUGCUGAAGUGACAAAUGCCCUGCUUCCAGGAAAAGCCUCUAAGCAUCAGGUAACAUCAAAUCGUACCCCAAACCGACACAGGUGGUCAGGUAGAGAAUACCAAGGCGCUUGAGAGAACUCGGGUGAAGGAACUAGGCAAAAUGGUGCCGUAACUUCGGGAGAAGGCACGCUGAUGGUAGGUGAAGUGACUUGCUCAUGGAGCUGAAAUCAGUCGAAGAUACCAGCUGGCUGCAACUGUUUAUUAAAAACACAGCACUGUGCAAACACGAAAGUGGACGUAUACGGUGUGACGCCUGCCCGGUGCCGGAAGGUUAAUUGAUGGGGUUAUCCUCGCGGAGAAGCUCUUGAUCGAAGCCCCGGUAAACGGCGGCCGUAACUAUAACGGUCCUAAGGUAGCGAAAUUCCUUGUCGGGU